rnacentral:rRNA from 1 species
GACGAACGCUGGCGGCGUGCCUAAUACAUGCAAGUCGAGCGGACCGACGGGAGCUUGCUCCCUUAGGUCAGCGGCGGACGGGUGAGUAACACGUGGGUAACCUGCCUGUAAGACUGGGAUAACUCCGGGAAACCGGGGCUAAUACCGGAUGCUUGAUUGAACCGCAUGGUUCCAAUCAUAAAAGGUGGCUUUCAGCUACCACUUACUGAUGGACCCGCGGCGCAUUAGCUAGUUGGUGAGGUAACGGCUCACCAAGGCGACGAUGCGUAGCCGACCUGAGAGGGUGAUCGGCCACACUGGGACUGAGACACGGCCCAGACUCCUACGGGAGGCAGCAGUAGGGAAUCUUCCGCAAUGGACGAAAGUCUGACGGAGCAACGCCGCGUGAGUGAUGAAGGUUUUCGGAUCGUAAAACUCUGUUGUUAGGGAAGAACAAGUACCGUUCGAAUAGGGCGGCACCUUGACGGUACCUAACCAGAAAGCCACGGCUAACUACGUGCCAGCAGCCGCGGUAAUACGUAGGUGGCAAGCGUUGUCCGGAAUUAUUGGGCGUAAAGCGCGCGCAGGCGGUUUCUUAAGUCUGAUGUGAAAGCCCCCGGCUCAACCGGGGAGGGUCAUUGGAAACUGGGGAACUUGAGUGCAGAAGAGGAGAGUGGAAUUCCACGUGUAGCGGUGAAAUGCGUAGAGAUGUGGAGGAACACCAGUGGCGAAGGCGACUCUCUGGUCUGU